rnacentral:rRNA from 1 species
GUAGGGAAUAUUGGGCAAUGGUCGGAAGACUGACCCAGCCAUGCCGCGUGCAGGAAGACGGCCCUCUGGGUUGUAAACUGCUUUUAUCUGGGAAGAAAAAGGCCAUGCGUGGCAAAUUGCCGGUACCAGAUGAAUAAGCACCGGCUAACUCCGUGCCAGCAGCCGCGGUAAUACGGAGGGUGCGAGCGUUGUCCGGAUUUAUUGGGUUUAACGGGUGCGUAGGCGGCUGAUUAAGUCAGCGGUGAAAGACUGCGGCUUAACCGGAGCAGUGCCGUUGAUACUGGUUGGCUUGAGUGUCGGAGGGGUACAUGGAAUUGAUGGUGUAGCGGUGAAAUGCAUAGAUACCAUCAGGAACACCGAUAGCGAAGGCAUUGUACUGGCCGACAACUGACGCUGAUGCACGAAAGUGUGGGGAUCGAACAGGAUUAGAAACCCGGGUAGUCC